UCCCUGGUAGUCUGGUGGUUAAGACACCAUGCUCUUAAUGUAGAGGGCCCAGGUUCGAUCCUUGGUCAGUAAA
rnacentral:tRNA from 1 species